rnacentral:rRNA from 1 species
GCAAGUCGAACGAGAAGCUUAUCAUUGAUCCUUCGGGUGAUUUGUUAAGUAGAAAGUGGCGAAAGGGUGAGUAACGCGUGAGCAACCUGCCUCUAUGUCGGGGACAACAGUUGGGAACGACUGCUAAUACCGGAUGUGGCUUCCAUAUCGCAUGUUUUGGAAGCUAAAGAUUUAUUGCAUAGAGAUGGGCUCGCGUACCAUUAGCUAGUUGGUGAGGUAACGGCUCACCAAGGCGACGAUGGUUAGGUGGUCUGAGAGGACGAUC